rnacentral:lncRNA from 1 species
CACUGUCCUGUGCCGAAGUGUGUUGUUCGUUUAAUGUGCUGAACCUUGUAGAAGAAGAAUUGUUUAGUUCCGAAAUGGUGAAAGUCACUCUGUGGAGAUGCAGACGUUAUCAAACUCCAUCCUUCUUGCUAUAAUUUUGUAGAAGCAUUGUCUUUUUACUAAUUUCAGUCACUAUUACUGUACCUACCUUCAACACAACAGUAGCUGUACCGGUUCUAUCGAUCUGCUAAGCUUAAGAAGGGGACUCUUUUGCGAGGGUAGAAUAAAUAGACAGGAUUGUGUCGAGGCACAGAUCUGGGAAAGGGUACUAAAACAUUUCUGCAGCAUUGAAGGUCCCCAAGAACACAGUGACCUCCAUCGUUCUUAAAUGGAAAAAGUUUGGAACCACCAAGGCUCUUCCUAGAGCUGGCCACCCGGCCAAACUGAGCAAUCAGGGGAGAAGGGCCUUGUUUAGGGAGGUGACCAAGAACACGAUGGUCACUCUGACAGUGCUCUAGAGUUUCUCUGUGGAGAUGGGAGAAACUUCCAGAAGGACAACCAUCUCUGCAGCACUCCACCAAUCAGGCCUUUAUGGUAGAGUGGCAAGACAGAAUCCACUCCUCAGUAAAACGCACAUGUUUUGAGUUUGAGUUUGCCAAAAGGCACCUAAAGGACUCUCAGACAAUGAGAAACAAGAUUCUCUGGUCUGAUGAAACCAAGAUUGAACUUUGGCCUGAAUGCCAAGCAUCAGGUCUGGAGGAAACCUGGCACCAUCUCUUCGGUGAAGCAUGGUGGUGGCAGAAUCAUGCUGUGGGGAUGUUUUUUAGUGGCAGGCACUGGAAGACUAUAAUCAGGAUCGGAGCAAAGUACAGAGAGAUCCUUGAUGAAAACCUGUUCUAAAGCGCUCAGGACCUCAGACUGGGGCGAAGGUUCACCUUACAACAGGACAACGACCCUAAGCACACAGCCAAGACAAUGCAGGAGUGGCUUAAGGACAAGUCUCUGAAUGCCCAUGAGUGACCCAGCCAAAGUCCGGACUUGAACCCAAUCAAACAUCUCUGGAGAGACCUGAAAAUAGCUGUGCACCAACGCUCCCCAUCCAACCUGACAGAGCUUGAGAGGAUCUGCGGAGAAGAAUGGGAGAAACUCCCCAAAUACAGUGCAACAACAAAAAAAGUGUCACCUUUUUGGGCCCUCAGCAGUUUGCAUCCCUGACUGCUUCUUGACACAGUGCCAGCUUGACUCAGAAGCCAGCCGGAGGAAACACCUGGCGACCAUGUCAGCGUGCAUUGCGCCCAGCCCGCCACAGGAGUCGCUAGUGCACGAUGCGACAGUAACAUCCCGGCCGGCCAAACCCUCCCCUAACCCGGACAACACUGGGCCAAUUGUGCGCCGCCCUACGGGUCUCCCGGUCGCGGGCGGCUGCGACAGAGCCUGGACUCAAACCAGGUUCUCUAGUGGCACACCUAGCACUACGAUGCAGUGCCUUAGACCACUGCGCCACUCGGGAAGCCCUGAAAGAAAAAAAAAAAAAACAUUACUCAAUUUUAGAAUAAGGCUGUAACGUAACAAAAUGUGGAAAAAGUCAAGGGGUCUGAAUACUUUUCAAAGACACUGUAAGCUGCUGUAUAUACAGGGUCACUCAACCGUGUGGGAGUCAAAACCAUCAGUUUAGAAUUUCCUGUCAUGUACUGAGGAAAUGUAACAGUUUAGGGGGAGGAGUGGGGGAAGAGGGAGUAGUAGGGGAGGAGAGAGUGGGUGGGGGAGGAGUGGAGGUCAAUCUGGUUGUAUUGAAAUAGGAUCACCGCCUGGUAUGGCAACUGCUCGGCAUCCGACCGCAAGGUGCUACAGAGGGUUGUGCGUACUGCCCAAUACGUCACUUGGGCCAAGUUUCCUGCAAUCCAGGACCUACAGUGGCUUGCGAAAAUAUUCACACCCCUUGGCAUUUUUCAUAUUUUGUUGCCUUACAACCUGGAAUUAAAAUUAGAUUUUUGGGGGUUUGUAUCUUUUGAUUUACACAACAUGUCUACCACUUUGAAGAUGCAAAAUAAUUUUUAUUGUGAAAUAAACAAGAAAUAAGACAAAAAAACCCGGAAAACUUGAGCAUGCAUAACUAUUCACCCUCCCCAAAAGUCAAUACUUUGUAGAGCCACCUUUUGCAGCAAUUGCAGCUGCAAGUCUCUUGGGGUAUGUGAACCCAAAGCAUUGAGGUUAGCCUACAUCAUCCUCAGUAAAUACAGAAGUACCUGGAGUGUGAACCCAAAGCAUUGAGGUUAGCCUACAUCAUCCUCAGCAAAUACAUUAAGUGUAAUGGUCUGCAUAUCCAAUCAAACGUCACUAAUGGAUAAUAAAUUAUAAUCUAUAGAUCAUUUUACCACUCCCCUUCUCCCCUCCUUGGAAAACUCAGAUUGCCCUUGGUGUAUUCCAGUGGAGGCUGCUGAGGAGAGGACUGCUUAUAAUAAUGGCUGGAACGGAGCAAACCAUGUGUUUGAUGUAUUUGAUACAAUUCCGCUCCAGUUAUUACCACGAGCGCGUCCUCCCAAAUGAAGAUGCCACCAACCUCCUGUGGUGUAUUCCACAUCAGUUCUGUCAUUGUCAUUCUCACCAACGGCAUGAGCAUGUAGGGUCAACAUUUACCACCAAGUCAUUGGAUCUCUGUACGUACUUGAUGUUAUGAAACAACAAGCAAAUGGAAGAGUUGAGGGUUGGGACUGUGAGGCUGAGCUGAUUCUUUCUGUGGUACUCUCUACAUAUGAUCAUAGCUGCACAGAAUCUCUGUCUCCCCACUGUAAUUUCUGGUGUACAACAGGGAAAAUAACGAUGGCUUUCUGUCACGCCCUGACCUUAGAGAGCCUUUUUUAUUCUCUAUUUUGUUAGGUCAGGGUGUGACUUGGGUGGGCAAAUCUAUGUUUAUAUUUCUUUGUUGGCCUAGUAUGGUUCCCAAUCAGAGGCAGCUGUUUAUCGUUGUCUCUGAUUGGGGAUCAUACUUAGGCAGCCCUUUUUCCCACCUGUGAUUGUGGGAUCUUGUUUUUGUAUAGCUGCUGUGAAGCCUGCAGAACGUUACAUUCGGUUUUGUGUUUUGUUGGUGUUCAUCUAAUAAUAGAAAAAUGUACGCUUACCACGCUGCACCUUGGUCUCAUUCCGACAACGGACGUAACACUUUCUCUCUCCCCUCCCCACCCCUGCCCUACCCUCUCCUUCCUCUGUUUUAGCUGAAGGCCUGUCUGCCCUUACAAAAUAAACACGUCAAAUUUGUAGUUUGACAUGUGAAAAUCGUAUUUUCACAAUUUUGAGCUUACAUUUCAAAUGUGAAACCAUAUUUUCAUCUGUAUUAAAUGUGGAGUUAACACCACCUUUUCACAUGUAAGAAGAAAAACGUGUUUUCACCUCACGUGAAUUGUACGGUUUCACAUGUUAAAAACUCUCACGUAAGAAAACGUCACGUGAAAAUUUCACUUUCACAUAUGGAAUUGCAUUUUCACAUGUAGAAAACAAUCAUGUAAAAAUCACAUUUGCAGAAAACUCCUCGUGAAAAAUCUAUCUUUCACAUGUGGAAUUGCAAGUUCACAUGUGGUGGUGAAAUAGUGCUAUACUCCUCACAUGUGAAAAAGGUGGUGUUAACAUGUUUACACAUGGAAAUGCCAAUUCUGUGAAAAGGUCAUUUAUUAUUCUCAGGCUAAAUCAAUCACUAAUUUCUGAGCCAUCCAUUCAGAGUGUUACUGCUGCAGGUGCGCGCCUCUCUUCAUACGUUGGUCAGUGACAGUCGGAAGAAGCCCAGUGAAAAGAACAGAGAAGCUAGAGCUCCAUGUCUCCUUAUUUAUCCUGUUUAACAUGUUCAAAUUAGCGAGGUCAGAGUUCAUCAUGCUAACUCAAGUUAACAUUUUGUAAUUGUAGUGCACAAUUUUUUUUAUUUAAUGGCAUUGUAUGAAAGCGUUCAAAAUACACUCAAAACAUCCAACAUACAUUAUCUAUACAGCUAAAAACAAUGCAAUGUCAAUGGAGGCUAUAUGUAGUCUUUUCACAUUCCUGACCUUUGAUCUUUGUGACUGUGCAGUCUGAUGCUUGUUGUGUGUCUGAUCUGUAUAAUGAGUGAAGGUCUUUUUCAUUUAUUUUUUUUAUGUUGUCUGUCUGUUUGUCUAUUUUUGUAUCUUUAGGUUAUUUGUUUGUUUCUAUUGUUUUUGUUUUCUGGUAUGAUUUAUGUGUAUUUUUCUUACUCUCUAAAAGCCACAAAACAACAGCAAAAAACAAGUUGAUUUUGAGGUUUUAUGUAACUAGGCAAGUCAGUUAAGAACAAAUUCUUAUUUACAAUGACGGCCUACACCAGGCAAAAACCAGACGACGCUGGGCCAAUUGUGUGCCGCUAUAUGGGACUCCCAAUCACGGCCGGAUGUGAAGCGCCACACGGGUCUAAGACACUGCAUCUCAGUGCAAGAAGCGUCAUUUAUUUAUCCAUUUUUGUGUAAAAAAAAAUAAAAAAUCGUACAUAACAGCUCAAUUUGAGCAAAUUAUGAAAUUGCCAUUAAUCACGAUUGCUCAUAGCAAAUCUUGCAAUAAACUCGAUGUAUUGUUUUGAAUAAUGAAUAAACAGCCCUAGUUGACAUUAAACCGUGAAAGUAUAGCGGUCAUUUAUCGGUCAUGGUUGCUCAUGGUCACGUGAUGAGGUAGCCCCUCCUGUGACUACAAAGUUAGUGUUGUCCCUAUUGGUCAAGACGGGUUGUAAUCCCGCCAGUUACAAAAGCACAUAUGUAAAACUUAUAUCCGGUUGUGUAAAGUACUUAAGAAAGUACUACUUAAGUAGUUUUUUG